UCAAUUAUAAAAAUCAAUCAAACAUGUAAUGAGUAACAAACCUUGACAUUAAAUAGUUUAGAAAGAUAUGUAUUGAACAUCAAAAUUAAUUAAAUAUAUACUUAUAUCCUAAAGAACAUAAAAUGUCAUCUUCUAAUUGUGAGAUCCUCAUAAUCCUAACAAACAUCUCAAUCUCAUCAAAACAAUACAAAAAACCCGAUCAUAAUCAUUGGGGAGGCAAGAAUAAUAUUGAAAAUAAGAGGAAACACAUAUGAAUAGAGUGACAA
rnacentral:lncRNA from 1 species